rnacentral:rRNA from 1 species
AAACAUAACCUUUAGCCAAACAAGUAUUAAAGGCAACGCCUGCCCAGUGAAUAAUUAAACGGCCGCGGUAUCCUAACCGUGCAAAGGUAGCAUAAUCAUUUGUCUAUUAAUUGUAGACCCGUAUGAAAGGCAAAAUGAGGGUUCAACUGUCUCUUAUAAUACAUCAAUUAAACUGAUCUUCUAGUACAAAAGCUAGAAUACUAACAUAAGACCAGAAGACCCUGUGAAGCUUUAACUAAACUAUUAAACCACUUAAUAACUACUUUCGGUUGGGGCGACCUUGGAAUAAAAAAGAACUUCCAAAUAUCAACAUUACAUUAAAGGCAGACAAGCCCACAUAAGACCCAGCAUAGCUGACAAUUGAACCAAGUUACUCCAGGGAUAACAGCGCUAUCUUCUUCAAGAGCCCAUAUCAAAAAGAAGGUUUACGACCUCGAUGUUGGAUCAGGACAUCCUAGCAAUGCAACCGUUACUAAGGGUUCGUUUGUUCAACGAUUAAUAGUCCUACGUGAU